GGCACCGUAAUAGCCGCCGUGUCACCGGGUGUGGACCUUUUCACCGUGAUGUCACACGUGCGUCCAUGUGGCAAAAGCUGAAGCGAUCUCAGAACGGAUUCGUAAACAAGCUCUUUUAUGUCAUUUGACCAAGACAGAUUGACUGAGAAAUCAGGCACCUUCCUCGGCCACGCACCUCUCACCAAUCAGCCCUCGUUAGAACCUGCUUUUAAGCCUGCCUGUACCCGGAAAUCCUAGCCAGAAUAUUGCAUCUUCUGCAAGCAUGUUCCCUCUGUGUUCCUUGCCAAGUGACUUCCCAUGCCGCCAACCCAGCCAGCUAUCCUCGUCACCACCUGCCACGCAUUCUCUGCCUCAACAACCCGCCAGCACAUCUCAAGGACCAUCUACAUUUCCCUUUGUUUCAAUAAACUGUUCAUCACAACCUCUCAGCCUCCGCCUGCUCUUGGGUCCAGUCUCUAUCCGUUCGUGACAGUCCUAAUAUUAUGAGAAAAAAAGACAUAAUUUUAUGAGAAUUAAGUACUAAUAUGAGGGCGGAGAUAGUUGUAGUUAUACAAGAAUUAAGUCAAAACAUGGGAGAAAAAAGACAUACUUUUUCAAGAAAAAACCUACUCUGAGGAAAAUAUACAUAUAUAUAUAUAAUUUUCUAUGGUGGCACGGUGGACGACUGGUUAGAG